AGUGAACGCUGGCGGUAGGCCUAACACAUGCAAGUCGAACGGCAGCACAGUAAGAGCUUGCUCUUACGGGUGGCGAGUGGCGGACGGGUGAGGAAUACAUCGGAAUCUACUUUUUCGUGGGGGAUAACGUAGGGAAACUUACGCUAAUACCGCAUACGACCUACGGGUGAAAGCAGGGGAUCUUCGGACCUUGCGCGAUUGAAUGAGCCGAUGUCGGAUUAGCUAGUUGGCGGGGUAAAGGCCCACCAAGGCGACGAUCCGUAGCUGGUCUGAGAGGAUGAUCAGCCACACUGGAACUGAGACACGGUCCAGACUCCUACGGGAGGCAGCAGUGGGGAAGAUUGGACAAUGGGCGCAAGCCUGAUCCAGCCAUACCGCGUGGGUGAAGAAGGCCUUCGGGUUGUAAAGCCCUUUUGUUGGGAAAGAAAAGCAGCAGGUUAAUACCCCGCUGUUCUGACGGUACCCAAAGAAUAAGCACCGGCUAACUUCGUGC
rnacentral:rRNA from 1 species